ensembl:lncRNA
UGUGUGUUUUCAAUUUGGACAUCUCCGAACUUCGUAUAUAUGUUACAGAUGCUGUCAACCAGUACCAGUUGUGGGCGGAGCUGUCCUUGGCUACACGGGGCAAACCUCAUUAUUACUCCUGGUAUCAAACUGGAAAAUGAUAACCUCUAGACACUGGAGUCAAUUUACAGGCCUUCUGAGCCCUUGGCUGGUCUCUGAAACUUUCUUUGACAUCUUCUGAUACACCCAAACUUCCAGAAUAGGCGUUUCUUCCUCCCUGCUUUCAAGCAAGUAGAGACUGUUCCAUCCUGAUUACAAGAGCAUCCAGCUUGACCCUGCUGAUCCUGAGUCAGCACUCUGCACUGCUCUGCUCUUUCCACACCAAAACUCUCUGUCUGGUCUCCACAUCCAGCGACAGUGCUGAACUUUUGCUUCAUACAACGUUUCGAGUAAGUAAAAGCACCCAUUACAUAGUUGGCACUCGCAUAUUUGCACCUUUUCUUUCAUAUGAGAUCCAAGGUUUCAUUUGUAGACUCUUUGUGCCCUCUCUCCAUGAUAUUUCAUACUGUCGACGUCCAGCUGGUUGAAUUUCUCUUCAGGUUUUCCGUGUUAUCUCUCUUAUAGAUUUCUGUGUUACUCUAACAUUCGUUUCCAUUACCAAGAUAACACUACAGGGCUGUCUUUUUGACCAUACAGGUGGACCUUGUUUUGUAGCGAUUUGCUUUGUUGUGCCUCUCAGGUAUUUUGUUUUUGACAAGUUAAAGGUUUCGGGCAACUAUGCAUUGGGCACAUCUAUUGGCACCGCUUUUACCUUUUAAUCUCCUCCCCUAACUUGCUCCCCACUGGUGACUACUAGUUUGUUAUCUUUUUCUGUGAGCCUGUUUCUUUUUUGCUAUAUUCACUAGUUUGUUGUAUUUUUUAGAUUCCACCUGUAAGUGAUAUGUAGUAUUUAGCUUUUUCUCUCUGACUUAUUUCACUUAGCGUAACACAGUAAAGUUUUUCUUGGGAAAUGCUUCUGGUUGACAUUCAGUCAAGUCAUGUCCAUUCCCAACACCAAGGUUAAUACCUUUUUCCCCAGAUCUUUGUUAAAUCACCAUGACACCUGCUUCGCAAAUAGGAGACAUAUUCCAAUUUUAUUAAUCUGACAUAUUCCAAUUUAUUAUUCUGCAUAGCAGAUUAUCCCAUCAGAGUUUACCUUUUAAAAAAAGUUAUUUUAUACUACUUUUUUUUUGCAAGACAUGUAGUUUUAUUAAGUAAAAGUAAUGUUAGCAUUCCGGCUGUGGUCCAGUGAGUUAGGAACCCGACGACAGAGGCUUGGAUCACUGCAGAGCUGCAGGUUCAAUCCCUGGCCUGGCACAGUGGGUUAAAGGAUCCAGUGUUGCCACAGCUGUGGUAUAGGUUGCAGCUGCAGCUUGGAUUCAAUCCCUGGAUUGAAUAACGGGAACUUCCAUAUGUUGUGGGUGUGGCCAUAAAAAAUAGUAAUGUUGUCACUUUCUCUCCGAAUUUUUUGUUUUAUUUUUCUAGUCCCUUAAAAAUUAUUUUCUAGUUUUAUUGAGAAAUAAUUGACAUACAUUAUCGUACUGUUUUAAGGCAUAAAGCGUGAUGGUUUGAUUUGUAACUACUGUGAAACGAUUACCACAAGUUCAGCCGUGUCUUUUAUACAGAUAAAAUAAAAGGAAAACAAAGACAGAUUAUUUUUUCCUU